GAUGAACGCUGGCGGCGUGCCUAAUACAUGCAAGUCGAGCGAACGGACGAGAAGCUUGCUUCUCUGAUGUUAGCGGCGGACGGGUGAGUAACACGUGGAUAACCUACCUAUAAGACUGGGAUAACUUCGGGAAACCGGAGCUAAUACCGGAUAAUAUUUUGAACCGCAUGGUUCAAAAGUGAAAGACGGUCUUGCUGUCACUUAUAGAUGGAUCCGCGCUGCAUUAGCUAGUUGGUAAGGUAACGGCUUACCAAGGCAACGAUGCAUAGCCGACCUGAGAGGGUGAUCGGCCACACUGGAACUGAGACACGGUCCAGACUCCUACGGGAGGCAGCAGUAGGGAAUCUUCCGCAAUGGGCGAAAGCCUGACGGAGCAACGCCGCGUGAGUGAUGAAGGUCUUCGGAUCGUAAAACUCUGUUAUUAGGGAAGAACAUAUGUGUAAGUAACUGUGCACAUCUUGACGGUACCUAAUCAGAAAGCCACGGCUAACUACGUGCCAGCAGCCGCGGUAAUACGUAGGUGGCAAGCGUUAUCCGGAAUUAUUGGGCGUAAAGCGCGCGUAGGCGGUUUUUUAAGUCUGAUGUGAAAGCCCACGGCUCAACCGUGGAGGGUCAUUGGAAACUGGAAAACUUGAGUGCAGAAGAGGAAAGUGGAGUUCCAUGUGUAGCGGUGAAAUGCGCAGAGAUAUGGAGGAACACCAGUGGCGAAGGCGACUUUCUGGUCUGUAACUGACGCUGAUGUGCGAAAGCGUGGGGAUCAAACAGGAUUAGAUACCCUGGUAGUCCACGCCGUAAACGAUGAGUGCUAAGUGUUAGGGGGUUUCCGCCCCUUAGUGCUGCAGCUAACGCAUUAAGCACUCCGCCUGGGGAGUACGACCGCAAGGUUGAAACUCAAAGGAAUUGACGGGGACCCGCACAAGCGGUGGAGCAUGUGGUUUAAUUCGAAGCAACGCGAAGAACCUUACCAAAUCUUGACAUCCUUUGACAACUCUAGAGAUAGAGCUUUCCCCUUCGGGGGACAAAGUGACAGGUGGUGCAUGGUUGUCGUCAGCUCGUGUCGUGAGAUGUUGGGUUAAGUCCCGCAACGAGCGCAACCCUUAAGCUUAGUUGCCAUCAUUAAGUUGGGCACUCUAAGUUGACUGCCGGUGACAAACCGGAGGAAGGUGGGGAUGACGUCAAAUCAUCAUGCCCCUUAUGAUUUGGGCUACACACGUGCUACAAUGGACAAUACAAAGGGCAGCGAAACCGUGAGGUCAAGCAAAUCCCAUAAAGUUGUUCUCAGUUCGGAUUGUAGUCUGCAACUCGACUACAUGAAGCUGGAAUCGCUAGUAAUCGUAGAUCAGCAUGCUACGGUGAAUACGUUCCCGGGUCU
rnacentral:rRNA from 1 species